AUUGAACGCUGGCGGCAGGCUUAACACAUGCAAGUCGAGCGCGCGGAGGACGGGUGAGUAAUGUCUGGGAAACUGCCUGAUGGUGGGGGAUAACUACUGGAAACGGUAGCUAAUGCCGCAUACCAUCAGAUGUGCCCAGAUGGGAUUAGCGAGUAGGUGGGGUAAUGGCUCACCUAGGCGACGAUCCCUAGCUGGUCUGAGAGGAAGACAAGCCACACUGGAACUGAGACACGGUCCAGACUCCUACGGUAGGCAGCAGUGGGGAAUAUUGCAAAAUGGGCGCAAGCCGGAUGCAGCCAUGCCGCGUGGGUGAAGAAGGCCUUCGGGUUGUAAAGCACUUUCAGCGAGGAGGCGUUACUCGCAGAAGAAGCACCGGCUAACGCCGUGCCAGCAGCCGCGGUAAUUC
rnacentral:rRNA from 1 species